CAGCAGAAGAAACUCCCAAGAAGAAAGAAAAAGAAGUCUAAGAAAGCCGAAGAGGAAGCGAUGGACGUAAAGGAAGAGGAAGAGGAGGCGACAGUCUCUCCCACAGAGGAAUCGUCAAAGAAGAAGAAAAAGAAGAAAAAGGUCAAGGAGGAAGA